rnacentral:lncRNA from 1 species
UGGCAAUUUAGAUAAUGGACAUUCGUUACCUUCUAUUACAUACAUUCAUAAGCAUGGUUGCUUUAUAACAACUAUUAGAUUGAUAAACAUAUCUUAUUGGUUAUAGCUUAACCCAACAUGGCUUAUAUUGGUCAUCUCUUUUUACUUCAGCUUGUAAUGCAGUCUUCUAUAUUUGAAAAUAUCUUUGAGAUCAAUUUUGUCACCUUGGUCUAUCCCUAUUGGC